CUUUUUUGGUGGUGAUGGAAGCGAUUCUCGAGGAAAGAAUAACAAACUGUGGGAUCUCAGCCGCAGGCGGGAGGAGAGGGGCUUUGCCCACGCAGGUGGAACACAGACAAGACCGCACCGAGGAGCGGGAGGCCGGAGCCAGCCGGGAGGCCGUGCUCCCCGGCCGGCGCCGCUCCGCCUCGGACCCCGGCACGGAAGGGUUGCGGAGAUCCCUGGGCGGGGAAGCGGCUUUUGGGAGAGACCCCACGGCCAGGAGCGUUUGCGGGGCAGAGGGGAUGGGCGGAAAUUCCCCUGCUCAUCACUCGUGUCCCUCUCCUGCCCCGGGUAAGCGGAGCAUCGCCCCUCCAUUUCCCCCGCUUCUCGAUGCUGCCAGGCUCUCGGCAUGGAAAUAAUGACCUGGCUCGGUGGAAACAUCACCCUUCGCAUAGUGGCUCCGGAAUACGUGCGGAAUUUGAAG